rnacentral:rRNA from 1 species
UACGGGGGGGGCAAGCGUUGUUCGGAAUUACUGGGCGUAAAGGGUUCGUAGGUGGCUUGCUAAGUCAGACGUGAAAUCCCUCAGCUUAACUGGGGAACUGCGUCUGAUACUGGCGAGCUUGAGUGCAGAAGAGGAAAGCGGAAUUCCACGUGUAGCGGUGAAAUGCGUAGAGAUGUGGAGGAACACCAGUGGCGAAGGCGGCUUUCUGGUCUGUAACUGACGCUGAGGCGCGAAAGCGUGGGGAGCAAACAGG